rnacentral:lncRNA from 1 species
GUUAUACAUGCGUCUUUAAUUCUUUUGGAUAAAUACUGAUGAAUAAUAUAAUAGGACCAUAAGUAGUUAAAUUUGUAGUUUUUGAGGAGCCUCUAUACUGAUUUUCAUGGUGGCUCUAUCAACUUAUAUUCCCACCAAUAGUUCAUAAGAAUUCCUUUUUCCCAUACCAUCACCAGCAUUUAUUGUUUUUUAUAUGCUUGUAGAUUGCCAUUGUGACUGGGCUCAGAUUAUAGGUUUGAUUUGCAUUUCCCUGAUGGCUAGAGAUUUUGAACAUUUUUUCAUAUAAUUUUUGGCUAUUUGUAUUUCCUUUGAGAAGUGCCUGUUCAAUUCAUCUGCCCAUUUAUUAUUUAUUUUGUGUUGAGAUUUUUUAGUUCUUUAUAUAUUCUGGAUAUUAAUUCUCUGUUGGAAGAGUAGCUGGUAAAGAUUUUCUCUCAUUCUAUAGGUUUUCUUGUUGCACUGUUUUUUUCUUUGCUGUGCAAAAGCUUUUUAAUUUGAUGCCUUUCCCCUUAUUGAUUCUUGCUGUUAAUUUCCUGAGUUAUAUAGAGUUCCUAGUCAGGAAGGCAUUGCCUGUGUCUAUAUAUUGAAGUGUUUUUCCUUUUUUUGUCCUAGCAGUUACAAAGUCUUUGGUUUUAUAUCUAGGUCUUUGAACUGUUUUAAGUUGACUUUUAUACAGAGUGAUAGAGAUUUAAUGUAAUUCUAUAUAGGGAUAUUCAGUUUUCACAGAACCACUUGUUAAAAAGACUGUGUUUUCUUCAAUUAUAAUUUUGGCUUCUUUGUCAAGAAUCAAGUUACUGUAGCUAUGUGGACUUGUCUCUGUGUCUUUUAGUCUAUCUACAUGUGUUUUUAUGUCAAUAUCAUACUAUGGCUCCGUAAUAUAAUUGAAAUUGUGCAUUGUGAUGCCUCCAGCAUUGCUCUUUUUGAUCAGAAUUGUUUUGGCUAUUCUGCAUCUUUUGCUCUUCCAUAUGAAUUUUAGUAUUUGUUUAGUAUUUAAUAUUUGUUAGAGGAC